rnacentral:rRNA from 1 species
UGUUCCCGGGCCUUGUACACACCGCCCGUCACACCACGAAAGUCGGCAAUACCCGAAGCCGGUGGCCUAACCCGUAAGGGAGGGAGCCGUCGAAGGUAGGGUCGAUGAUUUGGGGUG